ensembl:lncRNA
CAAGGAAACUAGAGUCCGUCACAAACAGGAAUUGCUUGAGGCCGCAGAGAGUGGGCUGACGGACUGUCACUCCCGACUCACAGGCUAAUGACCCUGCAAUCCCGGCUGCGCACAGACAGCAGCAGGGGGAUGUCUUAUCUUCCUACUGGCUGGAGACUGAGGCAAUCUCGGGCACAGUGCAGUUCGCCAGCUACUUUACCUGCACUGCCUCUUUCCCCUCCUCAGUAGUUUCUCAUGGGCGGGGACCAAGUCUUCCUUCGUUUUCCAGAGCCAUAGAUAGGAGUAGCUUUGAUACUUGUUCUCAUCGUGUGGUCCUGGGGAAGUUACUCAGCUACUUAGAGCCGUUUCUUCAGUGUCCUGACCUUUGCAGGGCUGGCCGCAAGAGAAGUCUUGAGUGAGCUGAGGAAGAAAUGAAGCAUCAGCCACGUGCACCGCAGGUCCGCGCCCUCGCAGCUCACACAGGGGCCGCUGGCCUGCGGGUGUCCACGGCGGCCAGCGGCUCCUCCAGGGCUCCUUCCGCGGCCGGGGCCCACCAGAGUCUGCAAAUGCAAGAACUUCCCACGUCCAGUUGGCUCUCAAGAACCGCGAUGCUUGGAAAAGGAUUCCAGCCCCUACAGAUGAGUCCCCGGGGCUGUGGGGCGGGGCAGGACCCUGUCCUUCACCCCGCCCGUCCUAGGCACCGCUGAGUCCUUGCAUCAGGUGGCCACAUCACCCUCAUUUUGCCGGGUAAGGAAGCUGAGACUCAGCAUCUCGGGAGGAGACUUGGCCCGACCAUGCAAAGCUGCCAAGUAGAGGGGCCCACACUUGAAUUCAGGGGUCUGCACCUGAGGGUGAGACUGCAUUUCCGGUCCUAAGGGAAGCCCACAGGAAAGGCUUCCCUUCACAACAGAAAGCCGGAAGGAAAUGAACUUAGCUCCUGGGGCAGUGCCGCAGAGAGACUUCAUCCCUACAGCACCACAUCCGGGCUUUCUCUGCCCUCCAGGACGGGCUCUGUGCGCCUCACCUGUCAGAACAAACCCUGGACCCACCAUGGGGGAGGACUUUGGUUUGUCACAGCUGCUUAAGAGUGAACACAGCACGUGAUUGCUCCUUGGAGGCCUGGCCCUGGGACAGGUGUGCGCUUCAGCCACAGGAUAUCCUCCCUGUAGCCGCUGUGGUUCAGCAGCCAAAAUCAGUACUUACGUUUUCAGGAAUCGUCUUGUUGAAGAGUCAUUAUUAAAAAUCAAAUCAAAACAUUUUUUAAUCAUAUUAAAAACAAAGGUAAUAAAACAUCAAAGCCCAUCG